CAGUAGCCGCGGGAAAACGAAGGGGGCUAGCGUUGUUCGGAAUUACUGGGCGUAAAGCGCACGUAGGCGGAUAUUUAAGUCAGGGGUGAAAUCCCAGAGCUCAACUCUGGAACUGCCUUUGAUACUGGGUAUCUUGAGUAUGGAAGAGGUGAGUGGAAUUCCGAGUGUAGAGGUGAAAUUCGUAGAUAUUCGGAGGAACACCAGUGGCGAAGGCGGCUCACUGGUCCAUUACUGACGCUGAGAGACGGAAGCUAGGGGAGCAAAUGGGAUUAGAUACCCCCGUAGUCCCUGUCUCUUAUAC
rnacentral:rRNA from 1 species